rnacentral:lncRNA from 1 species
UGAGCCGCCAUGUGAUUGCUGGGAAUUGAACUCAGAAACCUCUGGGAGAGCAUUCAGUGCUCUUAACCGCUGAGAUAUCUCUCCAGCAUUGUUUUAAGGUUUAAAAAGAGCCAUCUUUACUAUGGUUAAAGAGUACACGCCCUGUGAGUUCAGGAUCAUCUUCAGAUGACCACUUGCCACAAUAACGCCCUGAAAACUCUUCAGAGAUCUGCUGAAUAUGGCAUUUAAGACGUUGGAAAACUGAUGCUGCCCUGGGUCCUCUGCCUGCACUGAAAUCAAGACUCCCACAGUGGAACCUUCAGUGAUUGUCCAGAUGUGCUUCAGUAAAAUGCUAACUCCAGGUGUUUCCUCAAUAUCCGGGUGCCACACAGCUUCAAAGCAC